rnacentral:sRNA from 1 species
UUGGAGACGCAACCUAAAAGGGUACGG